UUAUAAUCUUCGACUGUCAAUUAGUCCUUUUUUAUGUCCAUAUAUGGAUGAUUGUCUUUUAAUUAUUUUAAUACGUUGAUUGCCACACAAAUUUUAUAUAUUAUGCCCUGGGAUUUCAAUUUUAUGCUGAAGUUUUGCUUAAAAUAUUAUAAGUCUUCUUGCUUGUUUAAGUAAGAGUAAAAUUGACAUAUAAAAAUUCGAGAAUCACAGCAAGGUUAACAAUUAGAUAAAGUAUUGUAGAUAAUAAAAAUAAAAGUAAAUAAUAGUAAGUAAUAAAAGAUAUUUGAAAUCUGCAAAAUAUGACGUACUUAAAGAAAUGUUUAGAUAACAAGUGAAUGUGUAUUAUUAAAAAAUGUCAACUUUUAUAGAUAUUGUCAACAUAUUAUAUAAAUAAAAAUAAAGAAAUUAUUCUAAUAAAAAUAUGCUAGAUGAGGUUUUUGAAGUACCAACGUAUGGCUAUUCUUUUUAUUUCAAA
rnacentral:misc_RNA from 1 species